rnacentral:tRNA from 1 species
GGAGAUUUAGCUCAGUGGUACAGCGCUUGCCUAGCAAGUGAAAGGCCCUGGGUUCGGUCCCCAGCUCUG